rnacentral:rRNA from 1 species
UGGGGAAUAUUGGACAAUGGGCGAAAGCCUGAUCCAGCCAUGCCGCGUGUGUGAAGAAGGUCUUCGGAUUGUAAAGCACUUUAAGUUGGGAGGAAGGGCAUUAACCUAAUACGUUAGUGUUUUGACGUUACCGACAGAAUAGGCACCGGCUAACUCUGUGCCAGCAGCCGCGGUAAUACAGAGGGUGCAAGCGUUAAUCGGAAUUACUGGGCGUAAAGCGCGCGUAGGUGGUUUGUUAAGUUGGAUGUGAAAUCCCCGGGCUCAACCUGGGAACUGCAUUCAAAACUGACUGACUAGAGUAUGGUAGAGGGUGGUGGAAUUUCCUGUGUAGCGGUGAAAUGCGUAGAUAUAGGAAGGAACACCAGUGGCGAAGGCGACCACCUGGACUAAUACUGACACUGAGGUGCGAAAGCGUGGGGAGCAAACA